UCAACGAUGAUACACUUUUGCAUAGUUCACACUGAAACGAUUGUGUUGACAAACAAGCAUCUAAACGUCUUUCGCUCCUAUCUGA
rnacentral:snoRNA from 1 species